UUUUGUGUAGAAUAUGAUGAAAGUUGUAUAUCGGUGAUGGUCUUUUGAUUCAUAUGAUCGACAAAAAUUUCAACUCGCUACGUUCUUUCUGAUUCUUACAAAA
rnacentral:snoRNA from 1 species